rnacentral:rRNA from 1 species
UACGUAGGGGGCUAGCGUUAUCCGGAAUCAUUGGGCGUAAAGAGCGUGUAGGCGGUCCGGUAAGUCCGCUGUGAAAGUCGGGGCUCAACCCUCGAAUGCCGGUGGAUACUGUCGGGCUAGAGUGCGGAAGAGGCGAGUGGAAUUCCUGGUGUAGCGGUGAAAGUGCGCAGAUAUCAGGAGGAACACCUAUUGCGAAGGCAGCUCGCUGGGACGUAACUGACGCUGGAGACGCGAAAGC